rnacentral:rRNA from 1 species
GGUUCCUUAAGUCUGAUGUGAAAGCCCACGGCUCAACCGUGGAGGGUCAUUGGAAACUGGGGGACUUGAGUGCAGAAGAGGAAAGUGGAAUUCCAAGUGUAGCGGUGAAAUGCGUAGAGAUUUGGAGGAACACCAGUGGCGAAGGCGACUUUCUGGUCUGUAACUGACACUGAGGCGCGAAAGCGUGGGGAGCAAACAGGAUUAGAUACC